UACGGGGGGGGCAAGCGUUGUUCGGAAUUACUGGGCGUAAAGGGCUCGUAGGCGGCCAACUAAGUCGGAUGUGAAAUCCCCAGGCUUAACCUGGGAAUUGCAUCCGAUACUGGAUGGCUUGAAUCCGGGAGAGGGAUGCGGAAUUCCAGGUGUAGCGGUGAAAUGCGUAGAUAUCUGGAGGGACACCGGUGGCGAAGGCGGCAUCCUGGACCGGCAUUGACGCUGAGGAGCGAAAGCCAGGGGAGCAAACGGG
rnacentral:rRNA from 1 species